rnacentral:rRNA from 1 species
UACGGAGGGUGCAAGCGUUAAUCGGAAUUACUGGGCGUAAAGCGCACGCAGGCGGUUUGUUAAGCGAGAUGUGAAAUCCCCGGGCUCAACCUGGGAAUUGCAUUUCGAACUGACAAACUAGAGUACGAGAGAGGGGGGUAGAAUUCCAGGUGUAGCGGUGAAAUGCGUAGAUAUCUGGAGGAAUACCAAUGGCGAAGGCA